rnacentral:rRNA from 1 species
GACGAACGCUGGCGGCGUGCUUAACACAUGCAAGUCGAACGAAGUGGCGAACGGGUGAGUAAUACGUUGGUAACCUGCCCUCCUUUUGGGGAUAAGCCUUGGAAACGGGGUCUAAUCCCGAAUAAAGGGGGUUGGGCUCGCGGCCUAUCUGCUUGUUGGGGGGGGGAUGGCCUACCAAGGCGGUGACGGGUGGCCGGCCUGAGAGGGAGCCCGGGCAAAUUGGGACUGAGAUACGGCCCAGAUUCGUACGGGAGGAAGGAGUGGGGGAUAUUGCACAAUGGGCGCAAGCCUGAUGCAGCGACGCCGCGUGGGGGAUGAAGGCUUUCGGGUUGUAAACCUCUUUAGCUAUCGAACGGGUUGGUGGAGAAGAAGCGCCGGCUAACUACGUGCCAGCAGCCGCGGUAAUAC